rnacentral:rRNA from 1 species
CCGGUGUCGAUGGUGAGGCGGCAGCAAGCGGAAACUGGCCAACUGGGGUAGGCGCGCGCCAGAGACGGAGCUGGGCUGCGAGCCCGGCCGCCGCGCUCGGUGGGCCGGAGGAGGAGAGGCAGGGCAGCUCGAGGAGAGAGACUGGUGCGCGUCGAUCUUCCGGCCGGGUGGCGGCUCGCGUGCCCCGUUAAAGAACCGCCGGCGCCCUGCCUCUACUCGCUCGCCUUCAACGAAACGGCUAAGAGAGGUGUGGGAUCUACUUACGGCUUGAGACCUGUGCUAAACCACUCAGGUCUAGAAACCCGUGGCCGACCUAGACACAAAACCCCGUGUACAGGAGGACUCGAGAGGGAGACGAGGGAACCAGGUUGAGAAGAAGGUGGAAGUCGCGUCGGGUGGGGUCCAUCCGUUCGAGAACGAAGCCGACAUGGAACAAUACAGUAUCUCAUGUAUGGUACGGGUAACAACACCUGGUCACCAUGUUAAAGUGGUACAAGAAUCAAUAAUCGAACUACGAUGUAGACAGACUUAACGACUUCUUAGUGAAGUAAAAAUUCGAUGGCGCUGUACGGUUAAGGAAGAACAGAAGGCUAUUAUGUAUGUAGACGAAACAUUUACAAUGAAUCUCAUUUACUUUCAAAGUGGGAAUUUUAUGAAUAAUAUGGUGAAUGGGGUUAAUUUAAAAAUAGUGUAAAAGUGUAAACACUGUGAUGGCUGGUAAAAAAUAUGAUGAACUAUGUAAACUCUUUAAAUAACGUACAUGGGGAAUAGGUAUACGCAUGUGUACGUGAAUGGUGUACGAGGUUCAGAAACACCAUGAUCCUCUAUCUCUUAUGUUACAACUUGUGGUGUUCACCCCGCUGUAGCGGUAAGAGCAAGCUCAACAAUUCUGUCUAAUGACUAUUAAAAAGACUGCUGGCGCAUUAACCAGUACCACGCAUACCUCACCAAAUGUUCCCUCAUAACCUGUUGCCCCUUUUCUAACGACACUUCUUCGAAUUUAUGUACGGAGGUCUUAUGCUGUCACUAUUCGUCAAACUCUUACUCACGUGAUUAGAGUACUCUCAGGUUGUAGUGUUAUAACACGCCAAUCAACCGAUGACAGUACUUUGUGCCGCACUUAUACAACUUGUGCCACCUUUUAUGCAAAAACGAUCGCUCCUGUUUGCUCAAGAGACGAAACUUAUGAACGUCCCACCUUCGGAACUGUUUGUGCAGAGACUGCUCAGUACGUUUGAACUAACCCUGUGCACAAUGUUUUAUUAAUUCCCUCAGACACUCCCAAAUUUAGUAGAAGUAUUACUAAGGUAAAAGGUAAACCUGAACUUUGGUCGCUUAUAUAACGACCUGUUGUUGUACUACGGGUUUUAACCGCUAAAACCAAAUAGUUCUAAGAAAGGCAGUUGUCUUUGGAUGUGGUGUUGUUGUACAAUACCUUGUGAGCCUAUGUAUGGUGGUCUUGUGUAGUUGUUGGUAGUUUAGAGCGGUUUUAUACUACAUAAGUCAAACCCACAAUAUUAAUAUGUUUAUUACCGUCCUGCGUUUCCGAUGUUACUAGGACCUCUAUGAUGAAGUGAGUUUAAGUAACUCAGACAUACACUCUUCACCGUUUUUUCCCAUGUACGUUGCUACACCAGUGUGUAUAGUGUUCUUCAAUUCUGUACGUAGCUUUAUCGAAAUUCGACACACCUUAGACUAGCCGUCUUUUCCGGAUGAUAUUCGGUCUAACAGUUACGUGAAUUCUCCUAACUAUAACUUUUUAACAGUGAAUGCACACUCCGGGUUUCGUACGUCCGGAACCAGGUGUUGGUUAUAUGCUGGAGGAGUCGAAGAUACCCCCAGGUACUACCACCGUGAUCUAAACUCAGUUGUGGACUGCUCCACCCUCCCCUACUAUCUAGCUGCGUACGUUUAUACAUGGUCCUUUGACGACUUGGGUAGCUGAUACUUAUGUUCGGAUAGUAAUCCUUGGGUCGCGGAUCACGAUAACCUCCCGUACGUCUAUCUCUAUAAACCCUCGAAGUUUUACACUGGGUCUGUUCGUUCCUCUUGUAGGAACUGAUACCGGGCUCCUUGAGUUUAUAUUCCCACCUUCCGUCGGAAGUAUGAGGUCAGUGGUAGCCAUAUUACCUACGAUAACCCCAAUAAUCACCGAAGUUUCUCACACUGAUAGAAAAAGUCACCCGAUCUAGAUGAUAAAAUAGUGUUAAAUCGCCAUGUUUGCUCGUUCCCGAGCUACUCCUUAAUAAAGCUAACUUCUUACCGGAUGUUACGGAAUCCCUAUGAGAAGGGCGUUACAUACUUGAGUAACUAGCUCGUCUCACCUCCUCGGUGUUCGUAAUACACCGUCUCGAGGAAGGUUUUGAGUCCCUACCUCACAUACUACGUCUUCUGGAAGAACUACUCAAGUCUACCAUGUACGACUUCCACUUUCACCUACCCUUACCUUCGGUUAGAAGUAAGUACCUGAAGAAGUUAUCACAGUAAGCACCUUCGAAAUUGUUUCACCUAUCAUAAGUCUUUUCCGAUCUAUUAUAAAGGUACGUGGAGGCACCAUACCCCAAUGUACUAUAGUGUUAUGCCAAACUGUUUAGUCAGUCCGGUCUCUGAUCGAGAAAGGGUCUACUUUGUUUUUAUAAACCAGCACUGUACCUCGAUUUCGUCUAGUAACUCAACGAAACACGUGGCUCUUUAUCAUCGCUACGAGUAGGGUUUGCGGUCUUUCCUUUAUCACGUGAACUACAUAGUUGAUCGUGUAGUCGUUCUUUAGUUCAACCAUUACUUAGUUCUUAUAGUCUAGAAGAACAAGAUGGUUAUCAACCUUAACCCCCACAACCUUUCUGGUGAGACCGAGUUGUAUAUACGUCAGUACUUCUUCACCUCAGGGUAAAACUGUUUUAUUAAACCCAAACGCACAGUCUACUGAAACUACACUUCUCCAAUUGAUUUCUCCAAUAUGUCAGAACAAGACUUUUUAUACGUUGAUGUCUUUUAAACUUAAACGAAGUCUUCUAAAAAAGACUAUAACGCUCUUGACUUUUCGAUAACUAACAAGACCUACUAUACACCCUGCUACAAAACUUCCUUUUAUCCUUCGUGACCUUGUCCAAAACACGUGGAAAUUCCUUACAUGACGGCCCUUCAUACUACAACUAAUGAUGAUCUUCGGGUGUCCAACGACUGUUUCACCCGUGCUACCUGGGGUAAUGUAACCUUCCAAAUCUCCUACUACGCAAGACCUUUAAAAAGCUUCAUACACAAAAACUCAGACCCUCAAGGUCAUUAUUACUAGGACUCAAUCUCGUGUAACCAUCUUCCUAUCAAGGAUUCAAUGUCCCAAGAGGAAAUCGACGGUUUUGAGAACCCGCUUAUAAUUCUUACUUGGAAGUUCAUCGUGUAACCUUACUACAUGAUCUCUCACUUGACACCUUCAACUCGGUCCUCCUCUGACUUUAAAACGGUCGAGAAGCCAACUCGAUGUACAUGAAUGGUAAGGCAGACUUCUCUACGAAGAGUAAAACACGUCACAUGGGGUUUCUAAUGGUUAAAGUUUUCCUAGCAAAUCGACUUUAAACCCACCGUCUUCCGAAACAACUUGGAGUUCCACUAUGAGGUGAAGUUCUAUAACCGACACUUAUGAAGUUACUGGAAAAUUUAUCCAGGAAAAAAGUUCUUCAUGUACCGUUUAUGAAUUAGGUACUGAACGACGUACUGUACCGUGUCUUUCAAAGUCUCGUACUCACGAAGUAGCACCUUUCUCUCUCACUGAAGUUACUAUAAGGAGGAUUACAAGCGGUAAACAGUUAGGAGAAACCGCCUCUGUAGCUGUUGCGGUCAAACAACUCAGAUAUGGUGAAUUGUUUCGAUGCAUGGGAAGAAACGCUUUUCGGAAAUCGCUUGUUUUUUUGAGGUCGAUCAAAUUACCUUUUUACCACUCAUUUGAAGACAUAGACGCACACUAACAAACACUGAGUUGAUUACUCAAUGGUCGAUAACCGUUGAACUUCGUAGAAGCCAUGGAAGUUUAGAACUCGCGAAGUGGAAAGUUCUCAGAGGGGCGGCUCAAGACAGCCGAGAUAUUGGACGUCUAAGACGCAGAUCUCUUUACGUAAGAUCUUUCGAACGGUCUACUGAAGUCAUCAGACUAUACGAAUGUCUCUAACCUUAGUGUACCUAAAGUUACAUUAAGUUCCAAAUCUUCAAAGGUCUCUCUUGAAAUAAUACUUCAAUCACAACUACAUCGGUUACCACUCGUCCCUAGUCGUAAAUCCACAUAUUUCUUAUAAUUGGUUGAGCCACUUAACCACUACAUAUUAUAACUGUUCGUUUCGUUCCUCGUACGUCGUCUUCGGGUUGAUGUCUUAUUCUUCAUAGAACUCUACAACUUGGACAGUAACAUACCCAACUCCAGAGGUCUCCUGUUACUGUAUCUUCACGAAGCUCAAAAUGUUGGAGGAUGGACGGAGUUCUAAGACGAGGAGUUACCAAUAGGUCCACACAGUGAAGGUUCCACCAGUCGUAGCUCAGAGAGUCUAGUAUAUUUGGGUUCACUCUAUGAACUCCACAAUCAACUAUUGCGAUUACUAUAGUGACCAUAAAAAGGUCAGGACUGUCUCGACCAGUAACUAUUCACGGUUUUAAAUAGUACGGAGCUUGUAUAAGAUGUAGGUCUAACACAUGGGCGGUAAUCCCUUUAGUGUUAAUUUCUAACAUUCUUGAAUCAAAGUCAUGGUCGACUUUCUAAACCCCUAGAGGCAACGGACCUUCUUAAGUGCCACGUUCCCACGGGUUUAUAUAGAAAGGCUUCAAACCAACGUGGAAGAGAGUUCUCCGAACACGACCCAUCCCCCCUACUAAUAUCAAUACUCGUAUCAACACCGUUAAAGCGUCUGUUAUAGCUGACGACGAGGGAGUGAAUGAAAAAGAACAGUUCGAUGGUAGAGUGUAGGUAGGUUGAUGUUUACACCUUAGAAGGUCGUGAUCUCCUCAACCUCUAAAGUUUAACACUUAGAGAAUGUAGAUAGUAACCUGUUAGUCCUGUCCAGAACUUUUUGUGACCGCCGAGAUCUCGUAAGGGUAGAGAACGAAGGGAUAGUUAACAAACCACAGUACUCGACAGUUGAUACCUGCUAGAGGAUCGUCUUCUAAUAUAUGGACGGUAACUCUUUUAAACAUAAUUUAAAACAUAGUCAAAUUUCAGGGACGGGCCACUUUCCAAAACCUUUAAAAGAAGAGACUCCCUAAACCUUUAGAGACCAACACCAUCUGAGUCGACCUUCUUGCCUAAGAAAAAUGGUAGAAGGGAGGUUUCCGAGCGGAAUCGAGUUACACCCCUAUAGAGACGUACCCAAGGGCUGACGGAUCUUUUGGAAUGCAGGGAACAAUGUAACCUCUAAAGAGAUACAGCCGUAUAUUGUAGGUAAGGCCCGUCGGAAACCUCGUGAUUGGAGUGUAGUGAACUCUUAAAUAGCUAACUCUUGACACGUCUAUAGCAAAGUUAACCACCUCUUUUACGUUAAAGUCUUUAUGUUUUACAUACCUAAUGUCCGACAGGACCCUACCUCCUUGAUUUCGCCGGGUACCAUUCUCCGUUUGCCUAUGGUACUCUCACCUCGGUCAGAAGGGGUUACACCAAACAAGUCAGUUGUUAGAUGACCCUAGUUUCUAGACUCGAAAAUCGACUUAGGUGCAAUGCGGUAUCGUCGAAUAGGAACAAUGAGUUCCAAAUGAGGUAGGUAGUAAGACAGCCGUUUAGGGUAUAUUUAUUACGUCAAUACCUCAAAUGGUCAGAGGGGUAAAGUAGUACGCGGUAAAACGUGAAAGAUCAUGAACACCUUAUUUACUCCCGUUUUAUAUGUACAAUAACAUGGAACAUACCACAUAUACACGGUAAUGAAACUAAAAAGAGUCAGUUGAUAAUUCUUGUUAAAAUUAGUCCUAUAAGAGGAGCACACUCUCCAGAUAUGAUCAUCUACAAUAGGACAAUUACAACAUCGUCAAGUUAUAGACUCCUUGAAGAACUACGAACUACACUACUG